CCAUAAGUCCAAGGCCAUAGCAGCAACAUUCAUGGUGCAGCCCUGUCAGAUUCCAACAAAUCUGCAAAUUCUGUU
rnacentral:ribozyme from 1 species